AUUGAACGCUGGCGGCAGGCCUAACACAUGCAAGUCGAGCGGAUGAAGGGAGCUUGCUCCUGGAUUCAGCGGCGGACGGGUGAGUAAUGCCUAGGAAUCUGCCUGGUCGUGGGGGAUAACGUCCGGAAACGGGCGCUAAUACCGCAUACGUCCUGAGUGAGAACGUCCGGGAUCUUCGGACCUCACGCUAUCAGAUGACCCUAGUUGGGAUUCGCUAGCUGGUGGGGUAAAUGCCUACCAAGGCGACGAUCCGUAACUGGUCUGAGAGGAUGAUCAGUCACACUGGAACUGAGACACGGUCCAGACUCCUACGGGAGGCAGCAGUAGGGAAUCUUGGACAAUGGGCGAAAGCCUGAUGCAGCCAUGCCGCGUGUGUGAUGAAGGUCUUCGGAUUGUAAAACACUGUUAGUUGGGAGGAAGAGCAGUAUGAGAAUACCUGGAUGUUUUGACGGUACCAACAGAAUAAGCACCGGCUAACUACGUG
rnacentral:rRNA from 1 species